rnacentral:misc_RNA from 1 species
UCCGCUUUACAGCGGCAGUCUCGCUAGAGUCCUCGACAUUACUCGUUAGCAACUAGCGACAGGGGUUGCGCUCGUUAAUGGACUUAACCAAACACUUCACAGCACGAGCUGACGACAGCCAUGCAGCACCUGUGUUCAGGCUCCCUUUCGGGCACACCCGCCUCUCGGCGGGCUUCCUGACAUGUCAAGGGUAGGUAAGGUUCUUCGCGUUGCAUCGAAUUGAACCACAUGCUCCACCGCUUGUGCGGGCCCCCGUCAAUUCCUUUGAGUUUCACCGUUGCCGGCGUACUCCCCAGGUGGAUUACUUAUCGCUUUCGCUUGGCCGCGUACUGUAUAUCGCACACAGCGAGUAAUCAACGUUUACAGUGUGGACUAC